rnacentral:rRNA from 1 species
GACGAACGCUGGCGGCGUGCUUAACACAUGCAAGUCGAACGGAAAGGCCCUGCUUUUGUGGGGUGCUCGAGUGGCGAACGGGUGAGUAGCACGUGAGUAACCUGCCCUUGACUUUGGGAUAACUUCAGGAAACUGGGGCUAAUACCGGAUAGGAGCUCCUGCUGCAUGGUGGGGGUUGGAAAGUUUCGGCGGUUGGGGAUGGACUCGCGGCUUAUCAGCUUGUUGGUGGGGUAGUGGCUUACCAAGGCUUUGACGGGUAGCCGGCCUGAGAGGGUGACCGGCCACAUUGGGACUGAGAUACGGCCCAGACUCCUACGGGAGGCAGCAGUGGGGAAUAUUGCACAAUGGGCGGAAGCCUGAUGCAGCAACGCCGCGUGCGGGAUGACGGCCUUCGGGUUGUAAACCGCUUUCGCCUGUGACGAAGCGUGAGUGACGGUAAUGGGUAAAGAAGCACCGGCUAACUACGUGCCAGCAGCCGCGGUGAUACGUAGGGUGCGAGCGUUGUCCGGAUUUAUUGGGCGUAAAGGGCUCGUAGGUGGUUGAUCGCGUCGGAAGUGUAAUCUUGGGGCUUAACCCUGAGCGUGCUUUCGAUACGGGUUGACUUGAGGAAGGUAGGGGAGAAUGGAAUUCCUGGUGGAGCGGUGGAAUGCGCAGAUAUCAGGAGGAACACCAGUGGCGAAGGCGGUUCUCUGGGCCUUUCCUGACGCUGAGGAGCGAAAGCGUGGGGAGCGAACAGGCUUAGAUACCCUGGUAGUCCACGCUGUAAACGGUGGGUACUAGGUGUGGGGUCCAUUCCACGGGUUCCGUGCCGUAGCUAACGCUUUAAGUACCCCGCCUGGGGAGUACGGCCGCAAGGCUAAAACUCAAAGGAAUUGACGGGGCCCCGCACAAGCGGCGGAGCAUGCGGAUUAAUUCGAUGCAACGCGUAGAACCUUACCUGGGUUUGACAUGGAUCGGGAGCGCUCAGAGAUGGGUGUGCCUCUUUUGGGGUCGGUUCACAGGUGGUGCAUGGCUGUCGUCAGCUCGUGUCGUGAGAUGUUGGGUUAAGUCCCGCAACGAGCGCAACCCUUGUUCACUGUUGCCAGCACGUUAUGGUGGGGACUCAGUGGAGACCGCCGGGGUCAACUCGGAGGAAGGUGGGGAUGACGUCAAGUCAUCAUGCCCCUUAUGUCCAGGGCUUCACGCAUGCUACAAUGGCUGGUACAGAGAGUGGCGAGCCUGUGAGGGUGAGCGAAUCUCGGAAAGCCGGUCUCAGUUCGGAUUGGGGUCUGCAACUCGACCUCAUGAAGUCGGAGUCGCUAGUAAUCGCAGAUCAGCAACGCUGCGGUGAAUACGUUCCCGGGGCU